rnacentral:lncRNA from 10 species
AUAUUUCCUUCUUUCCUGUUCCUCACCCUGAUCACGCUUGAUUUAUUGAUGGCGGUUCCACCAGGCCUAAUCGACACACACCAGCAAAGGCAGGUUAUGCUAUAGUACAAGCCACUAGCCCACCUCUUAGAACCUCUCAUUUCCUUUCCAUCCUGGAAAUCUAUCCUCAAGGAAAUAACUUCUCAGUGUUCCAUCUGCUAUUCUACUACUCCUCAGGGAUUAUUCAGGCCCCCUCCCUUCCCUACACAUCAAGCUCGAGGAUUUGCCCCACCCAGGACUGGCAAAUUAGCUUUACUCAACAUGCCCUGAGUCAGAUAACUAAAAUAACUCUUAGUCUAGGUAAAUACUUUCUCUGGAUAGGUAGAGGCCUUUCCUACAGGGUCUGAGAAGGCCACUGCAGUCAUUUCUUCUGUUCUGUCAGACAUAAUUCCUCAGUUUAGCCUUCCCACCUCAAUACAGUCUGAUAACUGAUGAGCCUUUAUUAGUCAAAUCAGCCAAGCAGUUUUUCAGGCUCUUAGUAUUCAGUGAAACCUUUAUAUCCCUUACAGUCCUCCGUCUUCAAGAAAAGUAGAAUGGACUAAAGGUCUUUUAAAAACACACCUCACCAAGCUCAGCCACCAAAAAGGACUGGACAAUACUUUUACCACUUUCCCUUCUCAGAAUUCAGGCCUGUCCUCAGAAUGCUACAGGGUACAGCCCAUUUAAGCUCCUAUAUAGACGCUCCUUUUUAUUAGGCCCCAGUCUCAUUCCAGACAACAGACCAACUUAGACUGUGCCCCCCCCCUCCACAAAAAAAAACUUGUCAUCCCUACUAUUUUCUGUCUAGUCAUACUCCUAUUCACUGUUCUCAACUACUCAUACAUGUCCUGCUCUUGUUUACACUGCCGGUUUACACUGUUUUUCCAAGCCAUCACAGCUGAUAUCUCCUGGUGCUAUCCCCAAACUGCCA